rnacentral:rRNA from 1 species
AGAAUCAACGCUGGCGGCGUGCCUAACACAUGCAAGUCGCACGAGAAAGGGACUUCGGUCCUGAGUACAGUGGCGCACGGGUGAGUAACACGUGAAUAAUCUACCUCCGAGUGGGGAAUAACUGAGAGAAAUCUUAGCUAAUACCGCAUAACACUUACGAGUCAAAGCAGCAAUGCGCUUGGAGAGGAGUUCGCGGCAGAUUAGUUAGUUGGCGGGGUAAUGGCCCACCAAGACGAUGAUCUGUAUCCGGCCUGAGAGGGCGCACGGACACACUGGAACUGAAACACGGUCCAGACUCCUACGGGAGGCAGCAGUGGGGAAUUUUGCGCAAUGGGGGAAACCCUGACGCAGCAACGCCGCGUGGAGGAUGAAAUCCCUUGGGAUGUAAACUCCUUUCGAUAGGGAAGAUAAGUGAACGGUACCUAUAGAAGAAGCCCGGCUAACUUCGCGCCAGCAGCCG